AUUAAAUUAAACAAAGAUGGCGGCGACACCAAAAUGCAUGAAAUGAGUGAUGAAAAUACAAGAAGUCUAAUAACUCUUUGGUGCGAUGAAAAUAUACAAAUUGCAUUGGGUAAUUCAAAAGCAUCCAAAGAUAAAAGCAAGGUUUACAAGUCCUUAUUGGAGCAAUUACAAGAAAGAGGCUAUGAAGAUAUUACACUAAAAGAAGUAAUUAAUAAAAUUAAGAAAUUGAA